rnacentral:rRNA from 1 species
UACGGAGGGUGCGAGCGUUGUCCGGAAUCACUGGGCGUAAAGGGCGCGUAGGCGGCUGGGGAAGUCGGCGGUGAAAGCCCGGAGCUCAACUCCGGGUCGGCCGUCGAGACUCCUCGGCUCGAGCUCACUAGAGGCAGAUGGAAUUCCGGGUGUAGCGGUGGAAUGCGCAGAUAUCAGGAAGAACACCCGUGGCGAAGGCGGCUCUCUGGAACGCAACUGACGCUGAGACGCGAAAGCGUGGGGAGCAAACAGG